AUCAGGAUCAGAAGUCAUGCAUGUUGCAAAAAAUAUAUAAAUGCAUGAACUGAUCAACGUAACUUUGGACGUGAAGAAUGAAAAGCAACAUAAAAGAAACUUUGUCGAUUUACCCGUGCCUUGUGUAUGAAAUAGCCAACCUGUGAAGGUCUGUUAUGCUCCUUAUUCACGCGUUGAUCGUCUCUGGCAGGAGCUCCUGUGAAAUUUGUUAACAAACAUCAAUGUGUUCACUACUUAAUUAUGGAUUGACUACCAUGUAUGAGAAGUGGAUCACACACCGGAGAAUAAGUAGCCAUCGCCAUGAUUAUGCAAAUUCACUACAUGUUGAUGCAAAUAGGCAUCGAGUGCAUAACGAUAACCACGUCGCUGUGAUUCUAUAAGUUUAGAAUUAAUAACUCAUAAAUCUAACAAAUAAUAUAAAAUUCUUAAAACAUGGGUAAUACUGAUAUAUAACCUUCUUGAACAUCAUGGCUUGAUAUAUCACCUUCAUGAACAUCAUGGUUUGAUCCUAAACUUGUUUCUAUA
rnacentral:lncRNA from 1 species